GACGAACGCUGGCGGCGUGCUUAACACAUGCAAGUCGAACGGUGAAGGCGGAGCUUGCUCUGCCGGAUCAGUGGCGAACGGGUGAGUAACACGUGGGCAACCUGCCCCUCACUUCGGGAUAACUCCGGGAAACCGGGGCUAAUACCGGAUACGACCUCCUUGGGCAUCCUUGGAGGUGGAAAGUUUUUCGGUGAGGGAUGGGCCCGCGGCCUAUCAGCUUGUUGGUGAGGUAGUGGCUCACCAAGGCGACGACGGGUAGCCGGCCUGAGAGGGCGAACGGCCACACGGGGACUGAGACACGGCCCAGACUCCUACGGGAGGCAGCAGUGGGGAAUAUUGCGCAAUGGGCGCAAGCCUGAUGCAGCAACGCCGCGUGGGGGAUGACGGCCUUCGGGUUGUAAACCUCUUUUAGCAGGGAAGAAGCGAAAGUGACGGUACCUGCAGAAAAAGCACCGGCUAACUACGUGCCAGCCGCCGCCGUAA
rnacentral:rRNA from 1 species